GGGGGGGGGGAGGAUUUUAGAUAUCUAUAGGAGCUCUUUGAGUCCAGAUAUGGUCGAAGCGCUUAUAUGUACUCAAAACUGGUUGAAGCCUUCUGACAAUGAUCUAAAUGUCCUUAAUAUGACUGAAGAAUAUGAGAUUAGUGAAUCAAUUGUUUCAGAGUUUCAAGUAGCUACUGGUGGAGCAGCUGCUCCUACACAGGCUGGGCCUGUUUAAUUCUCGCCUAGCUGUGAAUUUUUGAAUAUUUUGGAGUCACUUUGUGAUUCAAUAAGACAAGCCUUUCUUUUUUGGAGUCAUUUUUUGAAACUAAGGAUGGAACCGUUUCAGUAGCUACUGCGUUUGCUGGUCAUCAGGAAGAUUGUUGUUAUUUCAUAUUGCUGUUGUUAUGAGAAUCAUGACUCAGAAACUUUUUGGGCAGACUUUUUGGGCAGCCACUGCUGCUAGUUUCAUAACAAUUCAGUGUUCGAAAUGUUACAUUUUUUUGACUUGGGGAUUAACAAAUCUAUAUUCAUUAAGCCCAAGACAUUUCACCUUACAGUACUAAUGCUUAAGCUGUGGAAUAAAGACAGAGUGGGGCAUAUCAAGAGGAGACUGAAUAGCUCAAGCUUCUUGCUGAAUGGAAGAGAAAGAAAGGUGGAUUCAGAGCUACCAUGUUUGUUUUUGGAAACUUGGUGGCGGCUCAAGUUGCGACAGAAAUCGGUUGGAGCGAGUUUGCGAUUUCAAUGUUUUCACUAGGAAUGGUACAUUAUUUGCAGGCCAGGACUGUUCAAGAAAACUAUAAAAAGAAAGCUGCAAUAAAGAAGAUGGACAUGAAAGCAUCAAAAGAAUUUUUUGCCGAGCUUAAGGUGUUAACGCGUGUUCAUCACUUGAACUUGGUAAGGUUGAUUGGAUAUUGCAUUGAAGGUUGAUUGGAUAUUGCAUUGCCGGAAUGGACUUGUCUCUUACAAUAUUGAAAAAUGCACACACUGCUAGAGAACUAAAAUGCACGCCAAAAUUGGACUAUACUUUUGAAUUAGUAACUCCUGCAACUGCACAGCCUUGGUUUUUCACAAGUCUCACCGAUGUAUUGGACGUUGAUUCACAUGUAAUCUUUUCCAUCGAUCUUUUGUAUUUA